CUCCUACCCAGCUGAAGUCAGUGGAACUUCUGCCACUCCUUCCAAAAUCAACAGGAUAGCUCCUCCGCUCGCUCUCUAUUCCUCCUGCUAAACCACAGAUUUCUGAUAUUUUCAGGCACCCGUGCUCAUCAGUUUGGAAUCCACACAAGGCUGGGUUUCAUAACAACAAGCAGCCCAGAUUCUUUCAAAUUUGAGCAGACAGAAGAGAAUAAGUUAUGAGCUGAUUGGAGAUGCUGCUUACUGCACCUGCUGGGGCCAUUUUAUUUUCUCUGUUGGCUGGAGACAAAGAAAGCUCGAUGCCUCGCAGUUUUGAAAAAAACAAAUGGUUGAAAAGCAUCUGAAUUAAAAUUUAAUACAAACAUUACCUUUCCCUGGUACUCUGGGACCAAGCAAAGGACCGCUUAAAUCUUCAGGAUAGGAAGAGUGGCUUCUACCAGAACCAGUCUGAGCCUCCGAAGAUACAACUGGGCUAAGACUAAACAGAACAGGAGACAUGACCAAGGGUGCUGGCAGUGAACUAUAGCCUGCCUGAUGUCUCUGAAGGGGGGAAAGCUCAGAACUUGUCACUUUCUUGUAAGAAUCUGAGAAAAAGUGUAAGCCAGCAGAGGAGCGAGUCUACCACACUGUGGCCUGUGUCACCUGGACACCAAAACGGGUUUUGUAGAUGACAUUGACAUUACUGAAGGAAUGUACCACUGUGAUCUCUGAGAAGAAAAGAGAAUGUACCUUUCCCUGCCUCCAGGGAGUCUGCAAGAUAGCUAAGAAAUUGAAGAUAUUGCUGGCACUAGCAGAAGAUCAAAAAACAGCCUUGGUCCUUCCUGUCAGAAAAUUUAACUCCUAGCUGGAAGAGAAAGCAGUAUUCAGAUGCUGAGCACGGCAGUUACUCAAACUCAGCUGCCUGAUGGAAAGUGAUACUGUUGAUGACAGCUCAUCAGGAAAUAGGAACGUGCCUCCUCAGAACGUUAAUGCUUGGGUAAACAUCACCCAUGUGGAGAUAGGCACAGGAAGCUCAGACCUCAGCUUUGUGUUAAACUUCCCUGAGCCAACAGGCACUGCACAUUCUGCCUUCUUCCGUGGCUGCUUCACAAGGUGUCCCACGGUCCUCACUCCUUUUCUUUCUCCAAGAAAAGAGGAGAGACUGUCUCUUCUGUUAGAAGACAUAUUAGGCCUGUUGCAAGAGAUGAAGAACAAAGAAAAAGACAGUGUUAUCCAGUGAUGUACUUUGAUUCAGAGACAAAAACAAAAUUUUGGGCAUGUUUUUCAAAGAGAAUCUCAUUGGAUGUGUGCACAAGACUGUAAUCAAAGGGUUUGUGAAUAGGGUGAUUAAGUUCUGUUGUAGCUUUUCGUGGAGUGAUCAGACCCUUUGAACACAGGUAAAUAAUAGAUUAUGGACACAGGACAAGUAAAAUUAGGUGGAGAUUCAAUGUAGACUAAGUUACUUUAGACUCCUCCUGUGGCUGAUGAAGGGACACACAGGCUUCUCUCGAGUCUAAUGCAGUCUGGAUUUUUCUUUGUGGUUGCACAGCUCCCCUGUCCAUAAGCACUAUCUGAGGAGGUUGUCUUAUGGUAGAGGUACUUAGGCGCCUGAAGUAAUGUGGUAUGACAAUUCCCUUUUGUUUUCCCAUGUAAAAGUUUAGAACAACAGAGAACUCCAAAAGUGCUAUUACCUGUUUUCCUCUGAAUGAGAUUUAAUUUAAGCAUUCAGGGAUCCCAGCCUCAAAUAAUCUCAAGUCUGUACACAUUGAACACAUCCUUCAAUCCAGGCUAAAGAUCAAAUUCAACAACUAUUUUAUUUCUACAGCCCUAUUACAAUCAUUGCAACUAUUAGUCCGAUGACAUUAUUUUUUCCCCAACACAGGAAACCAAUUAUUUUUACUGAUUAACUCUUGACCUUCACUAGGACAUUGACUGCUAGGAAAUGGAAAGAAAAGGCCUAUCAAACCAAGGAGAUAAAAUGUUGACUGAGCUUUCAAACGACCAUUCUAAUUUCUAAAAAGCACAAAAAUCUCAACCCUUCUUUUAUCUUUCAUACAGAAACACUUAACACUCCUUGGAAGCAACUCACAGUUUCAAAUAAAGCAUGCGUACAGACCCACAGUCAACACGUAAGAAACCCUUAGUCAAGUUGCAGGAGUUUGUAGUUGCCUAUAUGAUCAGAACCAAAGAUCUGACCUUGAAAAUACUUAACAGCUGUCCCUAUUCUUCAGGCAGAGAUUUGUCCUAUUGAAGUAAAUGCACCUCUGUAAAAUGUUAAGCAUGUCCAGGCGCUUCUGCAAGAUGGACAUGAGUCUGUGAAUAUUUAUUGUGUAGUAUCUCCUCAGUACUGGUCUCCCUGGUACAGAAAAGACAGGGAUCUCCUGGAAAGACUCCAGUGGAGGGCCACAAAGAUAAUAAAGGGUCUGCAGCACCUCCUGUAUGAAGGAAGGCUGGGUGACCUGGGUCUGUUCAGCCUUGAGAAAAGAAGACUCAGAGGGGAUCUGAUCAAUGACUAUAAAUAUCGAAGGUGUGGGAGGCAAAAGGAUGAGGCCAGACUCCUCAGCAGUGCAUGGCAACAGGACAAGGGGAAAUGGCCACAAACUGAAGCGUAGGAAGUUCUGCACAAGUGUGUGUAAAAACUGCUUCACAGUGAGGGCGACGGAGCACUGACAAAGGCUGCCCGGGGAGGUUGUGGAGUCUCCUUCUCAAGACCCACCUGGAUGCCUACCUGUGCAACCUGGUCUAGGAAGCCUGCUUUGGCAGGGGGGUUGGACUUGAUUAUCUUUAUAGGUCCCUUCCAUCCCUACAGUUCUGUGAUUCUGUGGUUUAUUUCAACAACAAUAACAACAACAAAUGAGAUAAAUAAAUUAUUUGUACUGCUGUAGAGUUACGUGGCUAGUUGUAUUAAAAAUAACAUUCUCUUACAUUUGUUUUUUUCUGGUUGUUUUAGCAGAUUUUGUUCUUUGAUGGAAAAUGUAUUAAUCUAAUCCUGGGAAAGUGACUGUAGUGCUCAAUAGAACAGUUUCUGCCAUAUAAUUUUGAUGUUCAGAAGGUUGUGUAAUAUUUCAUAUGAAAAGCCUCUGUCAACUUCCACUGACUGUUGAAUCUUAAAGUGAUUCAUCCACACAAGUGUAUUUUUCAGGAAAUCUUCUGAAGCAGGAGGCGACCUCAUUGCAAAAUAUAAUUUAAUUGAACAUAUGUUGAUUUUAAAAGUAUAUAUACAUCUAUAUAAAUUUCUUUUCUCCUUUCUGAUUUAUUUUUGUGACUCACAUUGAUCACCAACAUUUGGAAAUAUAUGAAAAAGGAAAUUAAUUGAAU
ensembl:lncRNA